rnacentral:rRNA from 1 species
GAUGAACGCUGGCGGCGUGCCUAAUACAUGCAAGUCGAGCGAACAGACGAGGAGCUUGCUCCUCUGACGUUAGCGGCGGACGGGUGAGUAACACGUGGAUAACCUACCUAUAAGACUGGGAUAACUUCGGGAAACCGGAGCUAAUACCGGAUAAUAUAUUGAACCGCAUGGUUCAAUAGUGAAAGACGGUUUUGCUGUCACUUAUAGAUGGAUCCGCGCCGCAUUAGCUAGUUGGUAAGGUAACGGCUUACCAAGGCGACGAUGCGUAGCCGACCUGAGAGGCUGAUCGGCCACACUGGAACUUAGACACGGUCCAUGCUCCUACGGGACGCAGCAGUAUGGAAUCGUCCGCAAUGGGCGAAAGCCUGACGGAGCAACGCCGCGUGAGUUAUGAAGGUCUUCGGAUCGUAAAACUCUGUUAUUAGGGAAGAACAAAUGUGUAAGUAACUAUGCACGUCUUGACGGUACCUAAUCAGAAAGCCACGGCUAACUACGUG